GCAGACACAUUCCAGCCAAUCAGCAGCAGACCCUCCCUCCCUGACCCUCCCACCUCCUGGACAGCAUCCAUUUUACAUUCAUUGUGAAGCUGCAUUCUUAGUGAGGUGGCCAGGAGGUGGGAGGGUCUGGGAGGGAGGGUCUGCUGCUGAUUGGCUGGAAUGUGUCUG